AGGCUCAUGGCGUAGUGGCUAUCGCGUCCGUCUCACAGUGUACAGCACUGUCAGAACACGGAAGGUCCUGGGUUCGAUCCCCAGUGGGCCUA